rnacentral:rRNA from 2 species
AAUACGACUCUCGGCAACGGAUAUCUCGGCUCUCGCAUCGAUGAAGAACGUAGCGAAAUGCGAUACUUGGUGUGAAUUGCAGAAUCCCGUGAACCAUCGAGUCUUUGAACGCAAGUUGCGCCCCAAGCCUUUAGGCCGAGGGCACGUCUGCCUGGGUGUCACAC